AUGUUCUCGAUGACCGGAAGGAAUCCCUUCUGGCCAUCGAGAUUGUAUGGUCUCGAUGACCGGAAGGAAUCCCUUCCGGUCAUCAAGACCAU
rnacentral:miRNA from 1 species